rnacentral:rRNA from 1 species
GACGAACGCUGGCGGCGUGCUUAACACAUGCAAGUCGAGCGAGGCCCCUCCUUCGGGAGGGUGUCCUAGCGGCGAACGGGUGAGUAACACGUGGGCAACCUGCCCUCAGCUCUGGGAUAACUCCGGGAAACCGGGGCUAAUACCGGAUACGACCUCCACGGGCAUCUGCGGAGGUGGAAAGUUUUUCGGCUGAGGAUGGGCCCGCGGCCUAUCAGCUAGUUGGUGGGGUAGUGGCCCACCAAGGCGACGACGGGUAGCCGGCCUGAGAGGGCGACCGGCCACACUGGGACUGAGACACGGCCCAGACUCCUACGGGAGGCAGCAGUGGGGAAUAUUGCGCAAUGGGCGAAAGCCUGACGCAGCGACGCCGCGUGAGGGACGAAGGGCUUCGGGUUGUAAACCUCUUUCAGCAGGGACGAAGCGAAAGUGACGGUACCUGCAGAAGAAGCACCGGCCAACUACGUG